CCUACGGGGUGCAGCAGUGAGGAAUAUUGGUCAAUGGACGAGAGUCUGAACCAGCCAAGUAGCGUGAAGGAUGACUGCCCUAUGGGUUGUAAACUUCUUUUAUAUGGGAAUAAAAUGUUCCACGUGUGGGAUUUUGUAUGUACCAUAUGAAUAAGGAUCGGCUAACUCCGUGCCAGCAGCCGCGGUAAUACGGAGGAUCCGAGCGUUAUCCGGAUUUAUUGGGUUUAAAGGGAGCGUAGGUGGAUUGUUAAGUCAGUUGUGAAAGUUUGCGGCGCAACCGUAAAAUUGCAGUUGAAACUGGCAGUCUUGAGUACAGUAGAGGUGGGCGGAAUUCGUGGUGUAGCGGUGAAAGGCUUAGAUAUCACGAAGAACUCCGAUUGCGAAGGCAGCUCACUGGACUGCAACUGACACUGAGGCUCGAAAGUGUGGGUAUCAAACAGGAUUAGAUACCCGUGUAGUC
rnacentral:rRNA from 1 species